CUGAUAGAUUUUGCAUGUGACAACGGUUAUCUCUGCGUCGAGAAGGUUGGAGAGGAUAUCCCAAAGACGACAGCUGCGGAAUUCGAUGAACAUGACAGGAAUCUGCUUGUAGAAGCGGUGUUUAUAUAAAGCAGUGCCGAACAUGGAUGUGGGACGGCAUCUGGCACUGUACUUUCGAAAAAUAUCUGGUUAAGUAAGUGCAAGUGGUAUGAAUAAAGUACUAAAAAAUGGC